rnacentral:rRNA from 1 species
UACGUAGGGUGCAAGCGUUAAUCGGAAUGACUGGGCGUAAAGCGUGCGCAGGCGGUUUGUUAAGUCAGAUGUGAAAUCCCCGGGCUCAACCUGGGAACUGCAUAUGUGACUGGCAGGCUAGAGUGUGUCAGAGGGGGGUAGAAUUCCACGUGUAGCAGUGAAAUGCGUAGAGAUGUGGAGGAAUACCGAAGGCGAAGGCAGCCCCCUGGGAUAACACUGACGCUCAUGUACGAAAGCGUGGGGAGCAAACAGG